GUAAAACAAAACGUAACUUCAGUACACUACCUAUAGCACUCAUAGCCUCAAAUUAAAAUAUCAUAUACGCAAAUGGAUCCCGUCUUCAAGACUUUACGAAACCGAGUGGUGAUGUAUCAUACUCCAACGAAAAGGGCGUAUCAUCGCAGGACCGAAGAUCAGCCGAAUGCAGUCGUAUUGACUGGAGAUCCUGACACCUAUGAUACAGCUGAUAUCACCGGAGACUCAACAAAUCCUCCAGCUGUUCUCGAUAAUCAAUCUUACCAAAGUAUUGAACCCACUGAGUCCGUUAAAAAUGAAUCGCAUGAAACUGGAAGAUAUGUGUCCGUUCAAAAUGAAUCGAGUGAAACUGAAAGUGAUGAUAAUGAUCUCUCCAUUGUUUUUGACUCAAGAGAUCCCAUUGAAUAUUUGGACCUCACCGGCCAUUGGAAUCAAUAAUUUUCUUUGAACCCUAGUUGAACUUCGAACCCUUGGUGCAACAGAAAAAGAGGACAAAUUCCAUUAACUCCAGAUGUUCAGCGUAUUUCUCUUGAAAGGACAACUAGAAAUAUGAGUUACAUAAAACCUACAAAGGGAUUUAUCUACAAGGAGAUUUUUCAUGCUGAAGGCUUUGCUGCAUUUAUUGAUAAGCAAUUGAUGGUGUAUAUAUUUUUUAUCAGUGAUUUAUGCGAACAAAGCUCUUGUUCAUUUGAUGUUUAUUAUUUGUGUUAGUUCACUAUGCUGAAGUCAAAAUUUCCAUGCUCACAGUGCAAUUAAUUGCCGUUAAUAACAUGGACUUAACUUUAUAAAUAACUAGGUGGCUGCCACAUAAAUUUAUCAGAAAGUUGACCCCUCACCUCAGCGCCGCAAUGUAUGCAACAAGUUUUUGCAUUCGCACGCCGGCUGAGGCUUGUGAUGCGAUCCCAUAAAUUAAACUGGCUAAAACCGGAGAAAAGGAAGGCAAACGUCACCGAAACAGGAAAAAAGAAGCGCAUGGCCAGAGCAAACUCAGUCCGCAGAAGCCGCAAACAUGCAAACCCAAAAAAAAAGGGGGGCGACAUGGGCGUGGGAAGGGGGGACACCGGAUGCCAGGGAUAGAAUGCAGCACCAACUAAGCACGUGUCAAGAGUGCGGCCCAAGUUUUAAUUUGCCGGAGGCAUCCACUAACAUCCUAUGCCCCGAAUCGCCACUGGAAGAACUUCAAUGCAUUUAUAUAUGUACUUUAUAUUUUUUAAACAUAAUUAUUUCAGUUUCAAAACUACACACAUUACACAGGCAUAUAAGAAAUGCAUCUUGUUAGCUGAUUCACAAUCUAAAUCUGUUUACAAUCUAAAUCUGUUUCAUUAAAAUGUUGUUGCGAAUA